rnacentral:piRNA from 1 species
UAGUAAGAUUGAUCUGUGUGCAAAAUUAGU